GAAAUAAGAUGAACAAGAAAAAGCUGCUAACUUUUUUCUUUAGUGGUUAAAUUCCAUUAAUAUUUCU
rnacentral:tRNA from 1 species